rnacentral:lncRNA from 1 species
CGGUCAGCUUUGAGCUGUCGAGUGACGAUUGCUCCAUCUCUUAAGAAAGGACGCGGGGGGCCUGUCUUAUAAUAAAGGGGGUACUCUCUUCUCUGAUGUGCGCUAUAUUAUUGUGUCCUAUUCCUUAAGGAGUGAUCCGGGAUUAAGCCACGUGGCGAUACCCGCCAAAAGAAAGGGGGCCUUUCGUACGGAUUGGAGUACGAAGAUAAUUAUUCAGCACACUAAAAUCUAGUGGAUGGGGUUCCAUAUUCAUGAAAAGCCGGGGUUGAAACAUGUUAUGAAACUAAGACAACAAUUAUUUCUAAUAAUAAGAAAGAGU